CUUUGGGUUUCUGGUGGCAGACCCAUCACCGUCUCCGGACGGAGUUGGGACCCGGAUUAGCCCGGCCGACGGCGGACGGUAGAACCAUGUGGCGGGGGGCGGCGCUCCACGAAAGUUCAGCGCGUCCGGGCCGGCGCAAACUCUCACGGACACACGAAUUGCCGGACUUUAGCGCCGCAUUCGUUUCCGUGCGGUUGUUGGCGUCGGUCUCCUCGGACCGACCCCUACGGCGGACCGGUUUCGGUUCGUCGGUCGCCCGUCCGCGACGCUAUAGCUUUGGGUACUUUCAGGACCCGUCUUGAAACACGGACCAAGGAGUCUAGCAUGUGCGCGAGUCAUUGGGACUCUUAAUAAACCUAAAGGCGAAAUGAAAGUGAAGGAUCCGGACCACGCGUCCGGAUCGAGGGAAGAUGGCCGAUCCGAGGAUCGCGCCCGCACUCCCGGGGCGUCUCGAUCUCAUAGCGAGAUGAGGCGCACCCAGAGCGUACACGCUGGGACCCGAA
rnacentral:rRNA from 1 species